rnacentral:tRNA from 1 species
GACCCUGUGGUACAACAGUAGAGCGUCUGACUCCAGAUCAGAUGAUGUGUGUUCAAGUCAUGUCAAGGUCA